AUAAUGAUAUGAACUAAAUCCAUAGGUGAUUAAAUUAGAUCUAUGCAUGCUUAGGAUUAAAAGUUAUUUUAAUCUAUACUUCCCCUGUAUUUUUGAAAAAAAAUUGAAAAUUUUACAUGCACCUCACCUACCAAAACCCAACAGUGGUAUCAAAGCUAUGGAUUCAUAUGCAUGAGAAUGAGAUGAGAUCUUAUUUCAAAUCAAAUCUAGAAUGAAAUG
rnacentral:lncRNA from 1 species